rnacentral:rRNA from 1 species
AGAGUUUGAUCCUGGCUCAGGACGAACGCUGGCGGCGUGCUUAACACAUGCAAGUCGAACGGAGUUUAAGAUGAAGCUUGCUUUAACUUAAACUUAGUGGCGGACGGGUGAGUAACGCGUGGAUAACCUGCCCAAAAGACCGGGAUAACUCCGGGAAACUGGAGCUAAUACCGGAUACGUUCCUUUUAAUGCAUAUUAAG